UACGGAGGGUGCAAGCGUUAUCCGGAUUCACUGGGUUUAAAGGGCGCGUAGGCGGCACUGCAAGUCAGUUGUGAAAUCUCCGGGCUUAACCCGGAAAGGUCAACUGAUACUGCAGGGCUAGAGUGCAGAAGGGGCAACUGGAAUUCUCGGUGUAGCGGUGAAAUGCGUAGAUAUCAAGAGGAACACCUGAGGUGAAGACGGGUUGCUGGGCUGACACUGACGCUGAGGCGCGAAAGCCAGGGGAGCAAACGGG
rnacentral:rRNA from 1 species